GACGAACGCUGGCGGCGUGCUUAACACAUGCAAGUCGAACGGAAAGGCCCUGCUUUUGUUGGGUGCUCGAGUGGCGAACGGGUUAGUAACACGUGAGUAACCUGCCCUUGACUUUGGGAUAACUUCAGGAAACUGGGGCUAAUACCGGAUAGGAGCUCCUGCUGCAUGGUGGGUGUUGGAAAGUUUCGGAGGUUGGGGAUGGACUCGCGGCUUAUCAUCUUGUUGGUGGGGUAGUGGCUUACCAAGGCUUUGACGGGUAGCCGGCCUGAGAGGGUGACCGGCCACAUUGGGACGGAGAUACGGCCCAGACAACUACGGGAGGCAGCAGUGGGGAAGAUUGCACAAUGGACGGAAGCCUGAUGCAGGAACGACGCGUGCGGGAUGGCGGCCUUAGGGUUGUAAACCGCUUUCGCCUGUGACGAAGCGUGAGUGACGGUAAUGGGGAAGGAAGCACCGGCAAACUACGU
rnacentral:rRNA from 1 species